GGGCGUUAAGUUGCAGGGUAUAGACCCGAAACCCGGUGAUCUAGCCAUGGGCAGGUUGAAGGUUGGGUAACACUAACUGGAGGACCGAACCGACUAAUGUUGAAAAAUUAGCGGAUGACCUGUGGCUGGGGGUGAAAGGCCAAUCAAACCGGGAGAUAGCUGGUUCUCCCCGAAAGCUAUUUAGGUAGCGCCUCGUGAAUUCAUCUCCGGGGGUAGAGCACUGUUUCGGCUAGGGGGCCAUCCCGGCUUACCAACCCGAUGCAAACUGCGAAUACCGGAGAAUGUUAUCACGGGAGACACACGGCGGGUGCUAACGUCCGUCGUGAAGAGGGAAACAACCCAGACCGCCAGCUAAGGUCCCAAAGUCAUGGUUAAGUGGGAAACGAUGUGGGAAGGCCCAGACAGCCAGGAUGUUGGCUUAGAAGCAGCCAUCAUUUAAAGAAAGCGUAAUAGCUCACUGGUCGAGUCGGCCUGCGCGGAAGAUGUAACGGGGCUAAACCAUGCACCGAAGCUGCGGCAGCGACGCUGAUGCGUUGUUGGGUAGGGGAGCGUUCUGUAAGCCUGCGAAGGUGGCCUGUGAGGGUUGCUGGAGGUAUCAGAAGUGCGAAUGCUGACAUAAGUAACGAUAAAGCGGGUGAAAAGCA
rnacentral:rRNA from 1 species